rnacentral:rRNA from 1 species
AAAUUGAAGAGUUUGAUCAUGGCUCAGAUUGAACGCUGGCGGCAGGCCUAACACAUGCAAGUCGAACGGUAACAGAAAGCAGCUUGCUGCUUUGCUGACGAGUGGCGGACGGGUGAGUAAUGUCUGGGAAACUGCCUGAUGGAGGGGGAUAACUACUGGAAACGGUAGCUAAUACCGCAUAACGUCGCAAGACCAAAGAGGGGGACCUUCGGGCCUCUUGCCAUCGGAUGUGCCCAGAUGGGAUUAGCUUGUUGGUGGGGUAACGGCUCACCAAGGCGACGAUCCCUAGCUGGUCUGAGAGGAUGACCAGCCACACUGGAACUGAGACACGGUCCAGACUCCUACGGGAGGCAGCAGUGGGGAAUAUUGCACAAUGGGCGCAAGCCUGAUGCAGCCAUGCCGCGUGUAUGAAGAAGGCCUUCGGGUUGUAAAGUACUUUCAGCGGGGAGGAAGGGAGUAAAGUUAAUACCUUUGCUCAUUGACGUUACCCGCAGAAGAAGCACCGGCUAACUCCGUGCCAGCAGCCGCGGUAAUACGGAGGGUGCAAGCGUUAAUCGGAAUUACUGGGCGUAAAGCGCACGCAGGCGGUUUGUUAAGUCAGAUGUGAAAUCCCCGGGCUCAACCUGGGAACUGCAUCUGAUACUGGCAAGCUUGAGUCUCGUAGAGGGGGGAAUUCCGUGUAGCGGUGAAAUGCGUAGAGAUCUGGAGGAAUACCGGUGGCGAAGGCGGCCCCCUGGACGAAGACUGACGCUCAGGUGCGAAAGCGUGGGGAGCAAACAGGAUUAGAUACCCUGGUAGUCCACGCCGUAAACGAUGUCGACUUGGAGGUUGUGCCCUUGAGGCGUGGCUUCCGGAGCUAACGCGUUAAGUCGACCGCCUGGGGAGUACGGCCGCAAGGUUAAAACUCAAAUGAAUUGACGGGGGCCCGCACAAGCGGUGGAGCAUGUGGUUUAAUUCGAUGCAACGCGAAGAACCUUACCUGGUCUUGACAUCCACAGAACUUUCCAGAGAUGGAUUGGUGCCUUCGGGAACUGUGAGACAGGUGCUGCAUGGCUGUCGUCAGCUCGUGUUGUGAAAUGUUGGGUUAAGUCCCGCAACGAGCGCAACCCUUAUCCUUUGUUGCCAGCGGUCCGGCCGGGAACUCAAAGGAGACUGCCAGUGAUAAACUGGAGGAAGGUGGGGAUGACGUCAAGUCAUCAUGGCCCUUACGACCAGGGCUACACACGUGCUACAAUGGCGCAUACAAAGAGAAGCGACCUCGCGAGAGCAAGCGGACCUCAUAAAGUGCGUCGUAGUCCGGAUUGAGUCUGCAACUCGACUCCAUGAAGUCGGAAUCGCUAGUAAUCGUGGAUCAGAAUGCCACGGUGAAUACGUUCCCGGCCUUGUACACACCGCCCGUCACACCAUGGGAGUGGGUUGCAAAAGAAGUAGGUAGCUUAACCUUCGGGAGGGCGCUUACCACUUUGUGAUUCAUGACUGGGGUGAAGUCGUAACAAGGUAACCGUAGGGGAACCUGCGGUUGGAUCACCUCCUUACCUUAAAGAA